GCGUGAGUGAUGAAGGCCUUAGGGUUGUAAAGCUCUUUCGGCGGGGACGAUGAUGACGGUACCCGCAGAAGAAGCCCCGGCUAACUCCGUGCCAGCAGCCGCGGUAAUACGGAGGGGGCUAGCGUUGUUCGGAAUUACUGGGCGUAAAGGGCGCGUAGGCGGUUCAUCAAGUCGGGCGUGAAAGGCCUGGGCUCAACCCGGGAAUGGCGCUCGAGACUGGUGGGCUUGGAGUCCGGGAGAGGAUGGUGGAAUUCCCAGUGUAGAGGUGAAAUUCGU
rnacentral:rRNA from 1 species